rnacentral:rRNA from 1 species
CGUAGGGUGCGAGCGUUAAUCGGAAUUACUGGGCGUAAAGCGUGCGCAGGCGGUUUGUUAAGAUAGGCGUGAAAUCCCCGGGCUCAACCUGGGAACUGCGCUUAUGACUGGCAAGCUAGAGUACGGCAGAGGGGGGUGGAAUUCCACGUGUAGCAGUGAAAUGCGUAGAGAUGUGGAGGAACACCAAUGGCGAAGGCAGCCCCCUGGGUCGAUACUGACGCUCAUGCACGAAAGCGUGGGUAGCAAACAGGAUUAGAUACCCUGGUAGUCCACGCCCUAAACGAUGUCAACUAGGUGUUGGGAGGGUAAAACCUUUUAGUACCGGAGCUAACGCGUGAAGUUGACCGCCUGGGGGAGUACGGCCGCAAGGUUA